rnacentral:rRNA from 1 species
UACGGGGGGGGCAAGCGUUGUUCGGAAUUACUGGGCGUAAAGGGCUCGUAGGCGGCCAACUAAGUCAUACGUGAAAUCCCUCGGCUCAACCGAGGAACUGCGUCUGAUACUGGAAGGCUUGAAUCCGGGAGAGGGAUGUGGAAUUCCAGGUGUAGCGGUGAAAUGCGUAGAUAUCUGGAGGAACGCCGGUGGCGAAGGCGGCAUCCUGGACCGGUAUUGACGCUGAGGCGCGAAAGCUAGGGGAGCAAACGGG